AGAUUAUGGCAGUGAGACGGAUCGUGAUGACAGGGGAUACAGAUUGAUAUGACUUUACAACGUAAACAAUAACGAAACCCGAAAAAUACUCACAGUUUCAGAUCAAUACCCUUCUGUGUUUUCGGCCUCUUCUGAGUGUGUGUCAUUCGAUUCCUGAAGUACAGAUGCUAGAUUCCUCAGAAUCUAUUGGAAUAAAAGGAAACAUCAAUCAUGCUUCCAUUCCUGAUAGUCCGGAUGUCAGGACGGCAACAAAUGCCACGACGUUGUGUGAUUGUGAAUACUUAUACAGUUUACAACUAGAAUACCCUGAAUAGAAUAACUCGGACUAUGGCGAGUCACGGU